UGGGGAAUUUUGCGCAAUGGGCGAAAGCCUGACGCAGCAACGCCGCGUGAGUGAUGAAGGCCCUCGGGUCGUAAAGCUCUGUCAGAGGGGAAGAAACUUUUGGGGGAGAAUAUCCCUUGAAACUGACGGUACCCUCAAAGGAAGCACCGGCUAACUCCGUGCCAGCAGCCGCGGUAAUACGGAGGGUGCAAGCAUUGUUCGGAAUUAUUGGGCGUAAAGCGCGUGUAGGCGGCUAUUUAAGUCUGAUGUGAAAGCCCGGGGCUCAACCCCGGAAGUGCAUUGGAAACUGGAUAGCUUGAGUACGGGAGAGGGUAGUGGAAUUUCGAGUGUAGGGGUGAAAUCCGUAGAUAUUCGAAGGAACACCGGUGGCGAAGGCGGCUACCUGGACCGAUACUGACGCUGAGACGCGAAAGCGUGGGGAGCAAACAG
rnacentral:rRNA from 1 species